rnacentral:tmRNA from 1 species
GGGGCUGAAUUGGUAUCGACAGCGGAUAGUGAUGCUGGAGAAGCGUGCCGGGAUGCAACGCCCGUAACAGUGCAACCCCAAUAAGCGCCGACUACAACGACGCUGACUCGAUGCUGCAGGCGAGCGCCUCGCUGCUCGCCGAGGCCGUGCUCACCGAGCGCGGUGCUCUCGUGGCUGCCUGAGAGGGCCGAGUCCGUUGUCCCACAAGCCAAUCCCAGGGCGUGUGGUGACAGCGUGGCAAAACUGGGAGACCCGACUGCUCGUCGCCAGCAGUCGUAGCGAAUAGGCGACAACCACUGGGUUCCGGUGUCGGUCCUGGAAUCCAGCCGGUAGCAAGACCGACUACGCACGUAGAAGGCCAAGACUGAACGUCGACUGGACUCGGGUUCGACUCCCGACAGCUCCAC